rnacentral:RNase_P_RNA from 1 species
ACAGGUACACAGGUGAUAGCUUGAGCCACAACUCAAGAGGAAAGUCCGGGCUGCUGUAGGACACGGUUCCAUCUAACGGAUGGCCGCGGUAACGCGAGGGACAGUGCAACAGAGAGUAGACCGCCUAGAUUUCGGUUUAGGUGAGGGUGAAACGGCGGGGUAAGAGCCCACCAGUCUCAUAGGCAACUAUGAGAGCUAUGUAAACCCAACCGCGCAGCAAGAAACAGAUGGUUAGCGUCCUACAUCGCUAUUGUUUCGCUAGAGGCUCAGAGUGAUCUGAGCAGUAGAUUAAUUAUCACUUUAUCCAGAACCCGGCUUAUGUGUACCUA